rnacentral:rRNA from 1 species
GAUGAACGCUAGCGGCAGGCUUAACACAUGCAAGUCGAGGGGCAGCGUGAUGAAGUAGUAAUACGGAUUUGACGGCGACCGGCGCACGGGUGCGUAACGCGUAUGUAACCUACCUUUAACAGGGGGAUAACACUGAGAAAUUGGUACUAAUACCCCAUAACACUAUAGGAGGCAUCUCCUUUGGUUGAAAGUUCCGGCGGUUAAAGAUGGACAUGCGUUGUAUUAGCUAGAUGGUGAGGUAACGGCUCACCAUGGCGACGAUACAUAGGGGGACUGAGAGGUUAACCCCCCACACUGGUACUGAGACACGGACCAGACUCCUACGGGAGGCAGCAGUGAGGAAUAUUGGUCAAUGGACGCAAGUCUGAACCAGCCAUGCCGCGUGCAGGAAGACGGCUUCUAUGAGUCGUAAAACUGCUUUUGUACAAGGGUAAACCUCGGUACGUGUACCGAGCUGAAAAGUACUGUACGAAUAAGGAUCGGCUAAACUCCGUGCCAG